AGAGUUUGAUCAUGGCUCAGGAUGAACGCUGGCGGCGUGCCUAACACAUGCAAGUCGAGCGAUUUACUUCGGUAAAGAGCGGCGGACGGGUGAGUAACGCGUGGGUAACCUGCCCUGUACACACGGAUAACAUACCGAAAGGUAUGCUAAUACGAGAUAAUGUGCUUUUAUCGCAUGGUAGAAGUAUCAAAGCUUUUGCGGUACAGGAUGGACCCGCGUCUGAUUAGCUAGUUGGUAAGGUAACGGCUUACCAAGGCGACGAUCAGUAGCCGACCUGAGAGGGUGAUCGGCCACAUUGGAACUGAGACACGGUCCAAACUCCUACGGGAGGCAGCAGUGGGGAAUAUUGCACAAUGGGCGAAAGCCUGAUGCAGCAACGCCGCGUGAGCGAUGAAGGCCUUCGGGUCGUAAAGCUCUGUCCUCAAGGAAGAUAAUGACGGUACUUGAGGAGGAAGCCCCGGCUAACUACGUGCCAGCAGCCGCGGUAAUACGUAGGGGGCUAGCGUUAUCCGGAAUUACUGGGCGUAAAGGGUGCGUAGGUGGUUUCUUAAGUCAGAGGUGAAAGGCUACGGCUCAACCGUAGUAAGCCUUUGAAACUGGGAAACUUGAGUGCAGGAGAGGAGAGUGGAAUUCCUAGUGUAGCGGUGAAAUGCGUAGAUAUUAGGAGGAACACCAGUUGCGAAGGCGGCUCUCUGGACUGUAACUGACACUGAGGCACGAAAGCGUGGGGAGCAAACAGGAUUAGAUACCCUGGUAGUCCACGCCGUAAACGAUGAGUACUAGCUGUCGGAGGUUACCCCCUUCGGUGGCGCAGCUAACGCAUUAAGUACUCCGCCUGGGGAG
rnacentral:rRNA from 1 species